rnacentral:lncRNA from 1 species
AUUUUCUCAAAUCAAUACAUAUAAUAUUUAAAAAGGUACACCAGUCCCUCAAAAUCCAAACUACUCAAAUGAAAUGCUGGCAAUUUGAUAUUUACUUGCUAUACAAUCGAAAGUCCUCAAAUGUAUUAAAGAUAUCAAAUAUGUAGAGAACCAAUGAUAACAUUUUCUAACAUAACUGCAUGUAUCCCAAAGAAACAUGUACUGUGUAAUCUAAUAAAGUCAUACAACCUAUGAAGCAUGGCUCAAUUUGGUGGAUCGAUAGGCUCCAAAACUGCUCAACUUGGCUGCUAUCUGUCUGAUAAGGAAAAAGGGUAAAAGAAAUAUGAGCUAAUAGCUCAGUGAGUGGAUAAUUUGCAAAUAAGUAAACUUUUUUCAUUUAUGCAUAUUUUCUUAAAAUUCUUGCUCUAUUAAAACUUUGAGAAUUCUGAAAUCUGAUAAAACCUUUAAAACUAAAACAUGACUGCAUCAUAAGAUUCUUUGUUCUUUAUUCGAGAUAAAUAACUGUAAAGUAUAACAAAUUUUGGUACCCAUGAAAAUCUAUGAAAUAUUGUUGUUACUUAAUACUAUAAACUGAAAGCUUUAUUCUUAGAACUGAAUAACUGAAUUCUAUAAUCUGGUCAUACAUACGUAGAGCUGCAUUUACCUUAAUGUACUCAUUAUUCUUGAUGUAUGUAUCAUAACAUCGUAUAAACUCAAAAUUCUGGUGCUAAAUCAUAAAUUAGACUCAAGCUGAUAUAUAAAAGAAAUAUAAUAAUAAUUAAUACAAGAUGAGUGAGAACAUUAGACAAAUUCAAUAAGCUAAAAUCAUAAUCUGAAAUCCACAAGCUGAACUGUAAAUGGGAAAAUGUAAGCUGAAAGCUAAUAAUCCACUCUAUACUUAAAAUUCACAUCAAAAUAUACUCCAUGUAAUCAUCUACUGAUGAUCUGAAAACUAUAAAAUCAUAUGCACAUAAACCAUCGGAUCAACACUCUGUACACGGUCGUAGCCCCUCAGUGUAUAAGAUGAAAAAAACAUAAUCAUCCUUAUACACGGCUAUAGCCCCUCAGUGUAUAAUAGGUACCCUUAUACACAGCCGUAGCCCCUCAAUGGAUAAGAGUUACCCUUAUACAUGACUAUAACCCUUCAGUGUAUAGGAGUUAUAUACAUAACUCUAGUACACGGCCGUAGCCCCUCAGUGUACAAGAUGGAAAUAACAUAAUCAUCCUUAUAAACGGUCAUGAUAGAGAAGGAUGCGAUGGGACUUGGAGACGAGUAGUCCAAUUUCCUUCUGAACUAUAGAGACCAUCCCAGCCAUGUCCAGUCAUUGUGGGGGGACUUUUUUUUGGCCCUUAUAAACGGUCAUAGCCCCUCAGUCUAUAGGAGUUAAAUACAUGACUCUAGUACACAGCCGCAACCCCUCGGCGCACUAGAGUAAGAUAAUCACAUCAAUUAUUUAAUGAUAAUUUCAAAACAAUCAUGCUCAUUUACUAAUUCUCGAAAAUAAGGCAUUUCAUGUAAUUAACAUGCUUCUAUAAAAUAAAAAGGAAAUCUUCUUUUUGAAAACGUAGAUUUUCCACUCACAGAUCUAUGAAUAGCAAUCUGGUUCAAUUUUACCAAUCUUGCCCAGCUUUCACGUUACCACCUGAAAUAGGAUAUAAAAUAACUAAUUUAACAACUUCCAUACUUAGUAUUUCUUAAUACUAGUAAUCGAAUACUAAAACUUGACUUCUCGAUACUUGAAUAAUAUUUUCUCCAAUUUCCUUUAAUCACUUCAAGCUAAUUCCACAUUCUGGUCUAUUUCUUAAUAACUAAUUCAUUACAAUAAUCUUCACUCCAAACAUAAAAAUAAUUCCUUCUUUCAAACUAGUAAAAUUAAUAAUCAUAAUUUAACCAAUUUAAUUUCCCAUUUUGAGCAAUAAAUUCAUGCCUUCAAAUAGUAUUUCAUCCUUAAAAUUUUUCCCGUUAACUAAACUCAUUCAAAAACCCAAAUGAAAAUUCUAGGAUUUUGCCCAAAAUUGGUAUUUCUUACCUUAGUGUAAAUAGCAUCUCCAAUUCAAAAACAUUGACUUGAAAAAAUCUAUGAAAUAUUGUUGUUACUUAAUACUAUAAACUGAAAGCUUUAUUCUUAGAACUGAAUAACUGAAUUCUAUAAUCUGGUCAUACAUACGUAGAGCUGCAUUUACCUUAAUGUACUCAUUAUUCUUGAUGUAUGUAUCAUAACAUCGUAUAAACUCAAAAUUCUGGUGCUAAAUCAUAAAUUAGACUCAAGCUGAUAUAUAAAAGAAAUAUAAUAAUAAUUAAUACAAGAUGAGUGAGAACAUUAGACAAAUUCAAUAAGCUAAAAUCAUAAUCUGAAAUCCACAAGCUGAACUGUAAAUGGGAAAAUGUAAGCUGAAAGCUAAUAAUCCACUCUAUACUUAAAAUUCACAUCAAAAUAUACUCCAUGUAAUCAUCUACUGAUGAUCUGAAAACUAUAAAAUCAUAUGCACAUAAACCAUCGGAUCAACACUCUGUACACGGUCGUAGCCCCUCAGUGUAUAAGAUGAAAAAAACAUAAUCAUCCUUAUACACGGCUAUAGCCCCUCAGUGUAUAAUAGGUACCCUUAUACACAGCCGUAGCCCCUCAAUGGAUAAGAGUUACCCUUAUACAUGACUAUAACCCUUCAGUGUAUAGGAGUUAUAUACAUAACUCUAGUACACGGCCGUAGCCCCUCAGUCUAUAGGAGUUAAAUACAUGACUCUAGUACACAGCCGCAACCCCUCGGCGCACUAGAGUAAGAUAAUCACAUCAAUUAUUUAAUGAUAAUUUCAAAACAAUCAUGCUCAUUUACUAAUUCUCGAAAAUAAGGCAUUUCAUGUAAUUAACAUGCUUCUAUAAAAUAAAAAGGAAAUCUUCUUUUUGAAAACGUAGAUUUUCCACUCACAGAUCUAUGAAUAGCAAUCUGGUUCAAUUUUACCAAUCUUGCCCAGCUUUCACGUUAGCCCCUCAGUCUAUAGGAGUUAAAUACAUGACUCUAGUACACAGCCGCAACCCCUCGGCGCACUAGAGUAAGAUAAUCACAUCAAUUAUUUAAUGAUAAUUUCAAAACAAUCAUGCUCAUUUACUAAUUCUCGAAAAUAAGGCAUUUCAUGUAAUUAACAUGCUUCUAUAAAAUAAAAAGGAAAUCUUCUUUUUGAAAACGUAGAUUUUCCACUCACAGAUCUAUGAAUAGCAAUCUGGUUCAAUUUUACCAAUCUUGCCCAGCUUUCACGUUACCACCUGAAAUAGGAUAUAAAAUAACUAAUUUAACAACUUCCAUACUUAGUAUUUCUUAAUACUAGUAAUCGAAUACUAAAACUUGACUUCUCGAUACUUGAAUAAUAUUUUCUCCAAUUUCCUUUAAUCACUUCAAGCUAAUUCCACAUUCUGGUCUAUUUCUUAAUAACUAAUUCAUUACAAUAAUCUUCACUCCAAACAUAAAAAUAAUUCCUUCUUUCAAACUAGUAAAAUUAAUAAUCAUAAUUUAACCAAUUUAAUUUCCCAUUUUGAGCAAUAAAUUCAUGCCUUCAAAUAGUAUUUCAUCCUUAAAAUUUUUCCCGUUAACUAAACUCAUUCAAAAACCCAAAUGAAAAUUCUAGGAUUUUGCCCAAAAUUGGUAUUUCUUACCUUAGUGAAUAUAAAACAAGGUACAUCAAUCCCUCAAAAUCCAAACUACUCAAAUGAAAUGCUGGCAAUUCAAUAUUUACUUGCUAUACAACCGAAAGUCCUCAAAUGUAUUAAAGAUAUCAAAUAUGUAGAGAACCAAUGAUAACAUUUUCUAUCAUAACUGCAUGUAUCCCAAAGAAACAUGUACUGUGUAAUCUAAUAAAGUCAUACAACCUAUGAAGCAUGGCUCAAUUUGGUGGAUCGAUAGGCUCCAAAACUGCUCAACUUGGCUGCUAUCUAUCUGAUAAGGAAAAAGGGUAAAAGAAAUAUGAGCUAAUAGCUCAGUGAGUGGAUAAUUUGCAAAUAAGUAAACUUUUUUCAUUUAUGCAUAUUUUCUUAAAAUUCUUGCUCUAUU